UCUUCGGAAUGAUUUUAAGUGGAUUAGUGGCGGACGGGUGAGUAACGCGUGAGUAACCUGCCUUGCACAAGGGGAUAGCCGUUGGAAACGACGAAUAAUACCCUAUGAUAUAAACUCUUCGCAUGAAGAGUUUAUCAAAGAUUUAUCGGUGUAAGAUGGACUCGCGUCUGAUUAGCUAGUUGGUGGGGUAACAGCCUACCAAGGCAACGAUCAGUAGCCGGCUUGAGAGAGUGUACGGCCACAUUGGGACUGAGACACGGCCCAAACUCCUACGGGAGGCAGCAGUGGGGAAUUUUGCACAAUGGGGGAAACCCUGAUGCAGCGACGCCGCGUGAUUUAGAAGGCCUUCGGGUUGUAAAAAUCUUUUUACGGGAUGAAAAUGACAGUACCGUAAGAAUAAGGUCCGGCUAAAUACGUGCCAGCAGCCGCGGCAAUACGUAUGGACCGAGCGUUGUCCGGAAUCAUUGGGCGUAAAGGGUACGUAGGCGGCCUAGUAAGUUAGAAGUUAAAGAAUAUAGCUCAACUAUAUAAAGCUUUUAAAACUGCUAGGCUUGAGAGAUGGAAGGGAAAGUGGAAUUCCUAGUGUAGCGGUGAAAUGCGCAGAUAUUAGGAAGAAUACCGGUGGCGAAGGCGACUUUCUGGUCAUCAUCUGACGCUGAGGUACGAAAGCGUGGGUAGCAAACAGGAUUAGAUACCCUGGUAGUCCACGCUGUAAACGAUGAGUGUUAGGUUCUUGGAAUAAUCUGGGAGCCGCAGCUAACGCAUUAAACACUCCGCCUGGGGAGUACGCACG
rnacentral:rRNA from 1 species